rnacentral:rRNA from 1 species
UACGUAGGUGGCAAGCGUUGUCCGGAUUUACUGGGCGUAAAGGGCGUGCAGGCGGUUUGUUAAGUGCAGGGUGAAAGCUCCCGGCUCAACUGGGGGAGGUCCUUGGAUACUGGCAAACUUGAGGGAGGCAGAGGAAAGUGGAAUUCCCGGUGUAGUGGUGAUAUGCGUAGAUAUCGGGAGGAACACCAGUGGCGAAGGCGGCUUUCUGGGCCUUACCUGACGCUGAGACGCGAAAGCGUGGGGAGCGAACCGG